rnacentral:tRNA from 1 species
GGCUCCAUAGCUCAGGGUAGAGCACUGGUCUUGUAAACCAAGGGUCGCGAGUUCAAAUCCUCGCUGGGGCCU